rnacentral:rRNA from 1 species
UACGUAGGGCGCAAGCGUUGUCCGGAAUUAUUGGGCGUAAAGAGCUCGUAGGCGGUUUGUCGCGUCUGCUGUGAAAGCCCGGGGCUCAACCCCGGGUCUGCAGUGGGUACGGGCAGACUAGAGUGCAGUAGGGGAGACUGGAAUUCCUGGUGUAGCGGUGAAAUGCGCAGAUAUCAGGAGGAACACCGAUGGCGAAGGCAGGUCUCUGGGCUGUAACUGACGCUGAGGAGCGAAAAGCAUGGGGAGCGAACAGG